CGCCGGUGCGGGUGGAGGAGGGGCGCGCACCCUUUCCGCCCGGGCUUUUGCGGGCUGCACGGCCUGGAUCCCAAGAGCUGUUCCGGAACCUUGACGUGCUUAAUCGCAGGGACCCAAGCUCUAUUUUUGUGUGUCCGAUUUGUGCACUGCAGCAAAAUGGCCUUUCAAUCGCAUCUAGGGGUUUCUUGGCGGGGUUCGAAAGCUACAGAGCUGGAAACAGAAAGCCAGAAGGAGGAAAAUAUCAGUGACUCCCUCCUUCCCCCAUUAAUUAUUGGUACGGCUGGAGUAAGGCGGUUUGGUGCAACCAGUGCAUAUAAGGACUUGUGUGCUGGGAAGGGGAUCCGCCUCCCGGGCCGAGCGAGUGAGGCACAGAGCGCGCAGCCUAGCGUUUCCAAGUGCGGCGGCCUCAGGGUCGGUUCCUUCCUCCGCAGCCGGGAGGAUCCGGACUGCGGGCUCUGGACACCCGCCCUUAGCAGCUUUGGGGCUGGGAAGGUUUGCCCGCAGCGGGCAAGCUAAGAGACCUGAACUCGAUCUUGACAUCGCCACACCCAGGACUCGCUAGUGCUGCAAUUCCCCACGGAGACGACCAAAUUGAAACAAGAAGCUUGUCCUCUGGGUACAGUGGCUGGAACGCUCCAGGUAACUCCAAAGCCGAGGCCAGGUGGGCACUUUACCGAGGUAAACGUGACAUUCUGUAAUCAAGAGUGUGAAGUCACUUCCCUCAACCUCCCCGGGCAGCCCUUCUUCUGCAGCCGUGAAUACGCGAAGUACUUUGGAAGAAAGCGCGAAAACUGAACUAUUUCCCUUCAAAACAGCAGUGACCCUGCAAGCAUACUUUGCACUCUGUGAAGAGAAUUUACUCCUGGCCCAAUGCAUUGCGGACUUUUUAAAUCACGUGAUGUGGAGAUGCGCUUCUGAAUAAGGCUUUUGAAUGAGUGAACAGAAGUCAGUGCAAUUGGUUCUUAAAGACUCAGACAUUAGAGGACUUUCAAACAAUAAGCGUUCGGUGUUUGCUGUGCUGUUUGUUCAUAAUGUUUAUUUGUAUGCCUUGCGGACCAUGCAUCGCAAAACCUGCAACAUCUCAACGGCACCACCAAUUUGGGAACUUUUGACUUUAAACGUCAUGGGUCAAAUGCUCAAACGUUUUACAUUUAAAAUGCUGUGCUUGACUUUUAUAAUGAAACUACCCAGCUCAAUAUAUUAAGUAGUGUGAGUAAGCCUCCGUGUUGGAAAACCUGGAGUUUGCCAUAAUGACCAUUUUCAGCCCUCCUGUGUUCUUUCUGUCUUUCAUCUAGACAGAGAGUUAACAUAUUGCCUCCGUGUGAAAGAAAAUAAUUUCAGAUAUUGAAGCCCUCAAACAAAAUUAUUUUUAAAACUUCAAAUGUUGUAAAUAUGAACUUUUUCGUUCUUUUGUUUUGCUUUGCUUUGUUUUUUCCCCUGAGAAUCUUCAUUUUACACCCCAGACUUUAUCUUACCCCUCACGAAAAGACACGUUUUUUUCCACGGUACUACCCUGCUUUGGCCAUAAAGAUAUCUUGAUACUGAGUGAUACUAAAUUUAGACUAAGAUUAAAGAAUUAUAAGUGCCCACAGAGCUAGGUACUAACAGAAGGGCUUCCUGAGGGCCUGAGAAGACAUGGAAGAAGCUGGUGGGGCCAUGGGUGCCGGCCACAGAGGUGCCAUAAAAUGAAGGGCUAGCAUAGCGAGUGACCUCCAGUUAGUGAGGAAGAGGAGGAGUCCCAGCCUUUGUCCAGGUAGAGGUGCAGCAAUGAUGGUGACUCCUAGAACUGGGGAAGAAAGCAGAAGUCAGGUCAGGUCAGGUUGCCUGCCUCUUCCUUUCCGUCAAGCAUAUAUUGAGUUUCAACUAUUCCAGUACAAACAUCCUAGUUUCUAGCUAUUUCUACGCACUGCCUGUAAUAUGUAUAUAUUGCUUAACAGUUUUCAUUAAAUCAACACUUUUUUCUGUAAUUUAAUUUUGAAAAUAGAAAUCACUACUGUAAAUGGAAAGCUAGCAACACACGCUUUAAUAAAAGAAGCCAUUGAAAUAUAUAUAUAUAAUGGAAAACAAAACAAUGCUAUUAAAUUUUAGCCACCUGCCA